rnacentral:rRNA from 1 species
AUGCGGAGGGAUCAUUACAGAGUUUACAACUCCCAAACCCAAAUGUGAACAUACCAAUCGUUGCUUCGGCGGACUCGUCCCAGCGUCCGGGUGGCCUUGCGCCGCCCGCGGCCUGGAACCAGGCGACCGCCGGAGGCCAUUCAAACUCUUUGUAUUACCAGUAUCUUCUGAAUCCGCCGCAAGGCAAAACAAAUGAAUCAAAACUUUCAACAACGGAUCUCUUGGUUCUGGCAUCGAUGAAGAACGCAGCGAAAUGCGAUAAGUAAUGUGAAUUGCAGAAUUCAGUGAAUCAUCGAAUCUUUGAACGCACAUUGCGCCCGCCAGCAUUCUGGCGGGCAUGCCUGUUCGAGCGUCAUUUCAACCCUCGAGCUCCCCUUGGGGAGCCCGGCGUUGGGGACCGGCCUCUACCGCCGACCCCGAAAUACAGUGGCGGCCCCGUCACGGCGACCUCUGCGUAGUAACUCAACCUCGCACCGGAAACCCGACGUGGCCACGCCGUAAAACACCCCACUUCUGAACGUUGACCUCGGAUCAGGUAGGAAUACCCGCUGAACUUAAGCAUAU